AGUAUUGUGCCUGAUCGAAAAGGGUUAUCGUGAUAGGAUAAAUCAUGUAAAUAAUUAUUUACCUUUACUA
rnacentral:tRNA from 1 species